ACGUUAGAUGAGCGAAAUCCAAAGGUCAGCGUUAUAUCCUGACUCCUCAACCCUUGUUCAUAACUUCAUCUCUCUCACGCACAUUCCCCUUUCCCCCUUCUCUCUCCUCGAUACCAGAUCGCACCCCUUCUCCUAAAAACCUUCUAAGCUUCAGUGGUGGAUGAAGAGGGAGGAUGCAUCGCUGUGAAAAGAAAUAAGAUGGAAGAAAGGUUACAAGAGGAUUCAAAAUUACACUUGAGGAAUAUGCUGAAAUGAGCAGAGAUGAUGAAGACGAUGAUGAUGAAGGUGAUAAAGAUAAUAUCAAGGUCUCUUGACAAGUGUAGUUUUGAUAUCAAUUUAUGAGUGGCUAUUCACUAGUUAAAUAUUUUGACAAUGUUACUGCUAUUGAUAAAUUAGAGUUUUACUCUACCUUUAUUUGUCUUUUUUUUUGUCUAAGAAGUAUGAGCUAAAUGGGAACAUGACAGAUCGUGCGAGGCUGGAUUUAUAUAUUCCCGUCCUUUUUAAUGUGAUUGCCACAAAUUUAUAUAA